AUGAACGCUAGCUACAGGCUUAACACAUGCAAGUCGAGGGGCAGCAUGGUCUUAGCUUGCUAAGGCCGAUGGCGACCGGCGCACGGGUGAGUAACACGUAUCCAACCUGCCGUCUACUCUUGGACAGCCUUCUGAAAGGAAGAUUAAUACAAGAUGGCAUCAUGAGUCCGCAUGUUCACAUGAUUAAAGGUAUUCCGGUAGACGAUGGGGAUGCGUUCCAUUAGAUAGUAGGCGGGGUAACGGCCCACCUAGUCUUCGAUGGAUAGGGGUUCUGAGAGGAAGGUCCCCCACAUUGGAACUGAGACACGGUCCAAACUCCUACGGGAGGCAGCAGUGAGGAAUAUUGGUCAAUGGGCGAGAGCCUGAACCAGCCAAGUAGCGUGAAGGAUGACUGCCCUAUGGGUUGUAAACUUCUUUUAUAAAGGAAUAAAGUCGGGUAUGGAUACCCGUUUGCAUGUACUUUAUGAAUAAGGAUCGGCUAACUCCGUGCCAGCAGCCGCGGUAAUACGGAGGAUCCGAGCGUUAUCCGGAUUUAUUGGGUUUAAAGGGAGCGUAGAUGGAUGUUUAAGUCAGUUGUGAAAGUUUGCGGCUCAACCGUAAAAUUGCAGUUGAUACUGGAUAUCUUGAGUGCAGUUGAGGCAGGCGGAAUUCGUGGUGUAGCGGUGAAAUGCUUAGAUAUCACGAAGAACUCCGAUUGCGAAGGCAGCCUGCUAAGCUGCAACUGACAUUGAGGCUCGAAAGUGUGGGUAUCAAACAGGAUUAGAUACCCUGGUAGUCCACACGGUAAACGAUGAAUACUCGCUGUUUGCGAUAUACUGCAAGCGGCCAAGCGAAAGCGUUAAGUAUUCCACCUGGGGAGUACGCCGGCAACGGUGAAACUCAAAGGAAUUGACGGGGGCCCGCACAAGCGGAGGAACAUGUGGUUUAAUUCGAUGAUACGCGAGGAACCUUACUCGGGCUUAAAUUGCAGAUGAAUUACGGUGAAAGCCGUAAGCCGCAAGGCAUCUGUGAAGGUGCUGCAUGGUUGUCGUCAGCUCGUGCCGUGAGGUGUCGGCUUAAGUGCCAUAACGAGCGCAACCCUUGUUGUCAGUUACUAACAGGUUCCGCUGAGGACUCUGACAAGACUGCCAUCGUAAGAUGUGAGGAAGGUGGGGAUGACGUCAAAUCAGCACGGCCCUUACGUCCGGGGCUACACACGUGUUACAAUGGGGGGUACAGAGGGCCGCUACCACGCGAGUGGAUGCCAAUCCCCAAAACCUCUCUCAGUUCGGACUGGAGUCUGCAACCCGACUCCACGAAGCUGGAUUCGCUAGUAAUCGCGCAUCAGCCACGGCGCGGUGAAUACGUUCCCGGGCCUUGUACACACCGCCCGUCAAGCCAUGGGAGCCGGGGGUACCUGAAGUGCGUAACCGCGAGGAGCGCCCUAGGGUAAAACUGGUGACUGGGGCU
rnacentral:rRNA from 1 species